rnacentral:rRNA from 1 species
GACGAACGCUGGCGGCGUGCUUAACACAUGCAAGUCGAGCGCGAAAGGGGGGCAACCCCCGAGUAGAGCGGCGCACGGGUGAGUAACACGUGGGUAACCUACCCUCGAGUGGGGGGUAACACUUCGAAAGGGGUGCUAAUCCCGCAUAAGACCACGGGAACUUCGGUUCCUGAGGCCAAAGGGGCGGAGCAAUCCGACCCGCUUGAGGACGGGCCCGCGGCCCAUCAGCUAGUUGGUGAGGUAACGGCCCACCAAGGCGAUGACGGGUAGCUGGUCUGAGAGGACGACCAGCCACACUGGGACUGGAACACGGCCCAGACUCCUACGGGAGGCAGCAGUGAGGAAUAUUGCGCAAUGGGCGAAAGCCUGACGCAGCAACGCCGCGUGAGUGAUGAAGGCCUUCGGGUUGUAAAGCUCUGUCUGGGGGGACGAUGUGGCCCGGCCAACACCCGGGUUGUGACGGUACCCCCGAAGGAAGCACCGGCUAACUCCGUGCCAGCCGCCGCCGUAACAC